GUCCAAUGGGGGAUUUUUGAAGAGCAAAAGUGUGAUUUUCGAGUUAAAUGGGGGAUUUUCCAAAAGAAAAUGUGUGAUUUGUGGGAUGAUGGGGUAUUUUUGAAGAGAUAAAGCAUGAUUUGGGGUAAAUGCGUAUUUCGAAGAGAAAA
rnacentral:lncRNA from 7 species